AGUCCAUGUUGUGGACACUUCAUUAGUAAUCCUUUAAACCUUUCUCAUACUUUAUAGAGUGAUUCACUAUCCUUCUGAGAAAAGCAUGAGAUAUCAGUUUUGAGUUU